AAUUCCGUGGUGAAAUUCAUGUCAAAUUGCAAAUUUGAAGAUAUACCUUUAAUUGGUGUCGGGGUUU
rnacentral:tRNA from 1 species